rnacentral:rRNA from 1 species
GAUGAACGCUGGCGGCGUGCUUAACACAUGCAAGUCGAACGAGAAGUGAAGACGGAAACCUUCGGGCGGAAGGCUUUAUUUCGAGUGGCGGACGGGUGAGUAACGCGUGGGUAACCUGCCUCAUACAGGGGGAUAACAGUUGGAAACGACUGUUAAUACCGCAUAAGACCACAGCACCGCAUGGUGCGGGGGUAAAAACUCCGGUGGUAUGAGAUGGACCCGCGUUCGAUUAGCCAGAUGGCGGGGUAACGGCCCACCAAGGCGACGAUCGAUAGCCGAUCUGAGAGGAUGCCCGGCCACAUUGGGACUGAGACACGGCCCAAACUCCUACGGGAGGCAGCAGUGGGGAAUAUUGCACAAUGGGGGAAACCCUGAUGCAGCGACGCCGCGUGAGUGAAGAAGUAUUUCGGUAUGUAAAGCUCUAUCAGCAGGGAAGAAAAUGACGGUACCUGAGUAAGAAGCCCCGGCUAACUACGUG